rnacentral:rRNA from 1 species
CAUGCAAGUCGAGCGGAUGAGGAGAGCUUGCUCUCUGAUUCAGCGGCGGACGGGUGAGUAAUGCCUAGGAAUCUGCCUGGUAGUGGGGGACAACGUCUCGAAAGGGACGCUAAUACCGCAUACGUCCUACGGGAGAAAGCAGGGGACCUUCGGGCCUUGCGCUAUCAGAUGAGCCUAGGUCGGAUUAGCUAGUUGGUGAGGUAAUGGCUCACCAAGGCGACGAUCCGUAACUGGUCUGAGAGGAUGAUCAGUCACACUGGAACUGAGACACGGUCCAGACUCCUACGGGAGGCAGCAGUGGGGAAUAUUGGACAAUGGGCGAAAGCCUGAUCCAGCCAUGCCGCGUGUGUGAAGAAGGUCUUCGGAUUGUAAAGCACUUUAAGUUGGGAGGAAGGGCAGUAAGCGAAUACCUUGCUGUUUUGACGUUACCGACAGAAUAAGCACCGGCUAACUCUGUGCCAGCAGCCGCGGUAAUACAGAGGGUGCAAGCGUUAAUCGGAAUUACUGGGCGUAAAGCGCGCGUAGGUGGUUUGUUAAGUUGAAUGUGAAAUCCCCGGGCUCAACCUGGGAACUGCAUCCAAAACUGGCAAGCUAGAGUAGGGCAGAGGGUGGUGGAAUUUCCUGUGUAGCGGUGAAAUGCGUAGAUAUAGGAAGGAACACCAGUGGCGAAGGCGACCACCUGGGCUCAUACUGACACUGAGG